GCACCAGUUAUGUAAGUUUAAGGACUUGUAUAGAGUGUGCUUGAACUACAUGCUUGACCAUAGAAGAAAAUGCAGAUUAAUGCUGCAUUUUAUGACAUAAAAUACAGCAGCGAUAGUUAGUAGUUAUGAUAGCCUUCGGGAAGCCAGAGCAAAUACUAAAGCUGCAGUGCGCAGGUCAAGUUAUCUUGGUCUGUUUGGUGGUCAGGCUACCAGUG
rnacentral:sRNA from 12 species